rnacentral:rRNA from 1 species
UACAGAGGUCUCAAGCGUUGUUCGGAUUCAUUGGGCGUAAGGGGUGUGUAGGUGGCGCCGUAAGUCGGGUGUGAAAUUUCGGGAGCUUAACUCCGAAACUGCAUUCGAUACUGCGGUGCUUGAGGACUGGAGAGGAGACUGGAAUUCAUGGUGUAGCAGUGAAAUGCGUAGAGAUCAUGAGGAAGACCAGUGGCGAAGGCGGGUCUCUGGACAGUUCCUGACACUGAGACACGAAGGCCAGGGGAGCAAACGGG